AUUGAACGCUGGCGGAAUGCUUUACACAUGCAAGUCGAACGGUAGAGGGGGCAACCCCUCGAGAGUGGCGAACGGGUGAGUAAUAUAUCGGAACGUGCCCAGUCGUGGGGGAUAACGUAGCGAAAGUUACGCUAAUACCGCAUACGAUCUACGGAUGAAAGCGGGGGAUCGCAAGACCUCGCGCGAUUGGAGCGGCCGAUAUCAGAUUAGGUAGUUGGUGGGGUAAAGGCUCACCAAGCCAACGAUCUGUAGCUGGUCUGAGAGGACGACCAGCCACACUGGAACUGAGACACGGUCCAGACUCCUACGGGAGGCAGCAGUGGGGAAUUUUGGACAAUGGACGCAAGUCUGAUCCAGCCAUUCCGCGUGCAGGAUGAAGGCCCUCGGGUUGUAAACUGCUUUUGUACGGACGAAAAGGUUUGUCUUAAUACGAUGAGCUCAUGACGGUACCGUAAGAAUAAGCACCGGCUAACUACGUG
rnacentral:rRNA from 1 species